GAAGGCUUUAGCUUAAUAAAAGCAUUUGAGUUGCAUUCAGGAGAUGUAAAUUAGUAUUUUACAAGUCUUA
rnacentral:tRNA from 3 species